rnacentral:rRNA from 1 species
UAAUACCGCAUGACAUCCUGUCUUUUAAGAGGCGGAGAUCAAAGCUGGGGAUCGCAAGACCUAGCGCUUGAAGAGGGGCCCGCGUCCGAUUAGCUAGUUGGUGGGGUAAUGGCUCACCAAGGCUACGAUCGGUAGCCGGCCUGAGAGGGCGGACGGCCACACUGGGACUGAGACACGGCCCAGACUCCUACGGGAGGCAGCAGUGGGGAAUUGUUCGCAAUGGGCGCAAGCCUGACGACGCAACGCCGCGUGGAGGAUGAAGACCUUCGGGUCGUAAACUCCUUUCGAUCGAGACGAACGGCCUCUGGGUAAACAAUCCAGGGGAGUGACGGUACCGAGAGAAGAAGCCCCGGCUAACUCCGUGCCAGCAGCCGCGGUAAUACGGGGGGGGCAAGCGUUGUUCGGAAUUACUGGGCGUAAAGGGCUCGUAGGCGGCCAACUAAGUCAGACGUGAAAUCCCUCGGCUUAACCGGGGAACUGCGUCUGAUACUGGAUGGCUUGAAUCCGGGAGAGGGAUGCGGAAUUCCAGGUGUAGCGGUGAAAUGCGUAGAUAUCUGGAGGAACACCGGUGGCGAAGGCGGCAUCCUGGACCGGCAUUGACGCUGAGGAGCGAAAGCCAGGGGAGCAAACGGGAUUAGAUACCCCGGUAGUCCUGGCCCUAAACGAUGAAUGCUUGGUGUGGCGGGUAUCGAUCCCUGCCGUGCCGAAGCU